ACGAUUUCAACCCAUGUGCAGCAACUAAAGAUUUCAAGUGGUCAGGAGCUCGGGUGGGAUUUCAUCAGGUGCCUGACCAGCAGGGCCCCGUGAGCACAGGGUUUGCAGAGCUUGUACUGGAUCGUGGCAGAGUUCAUGAAUCUGGAGCUGUGCAGAGCUCGGGGUGUUGGCUGUGCCAUCCAUCAGCCUGGGCACUGCCUCCAACGUGGUGGGCACAGCUGAUGGGACAGCUGAGGUCCUGCAGCCUGGCACUGGGGCUCUUGUCCUCCCACAGACCUGCUCGUCGUGUUGGCACACGGCACAAAAGCGUCCCCGAAACACUUCGCUCCAAGCUCCGGAGAUCCAUGGAGGGAAGAUGCCUCUGGAAGAGCGACCAAGCCCUUGCUUGUGCCAGCUGGAGGGCUUUUUGCAUGUUUCCACGAGCUGAAAAAUCUCUGAGACCAGAACCCUGAAUGUUUGCAAAUACUGCUUUCCAUCUGAGAGCUGCCCUCCAGAAAUACCACGGAAAAAGCCUGAGAAACCACUCAGCCUGUUAUCUGUGUACCACAAAUAAAGAGGUUUCCCUGGUGUGGGGUUUUAUCUCCUUUGCUCAGGUCCUUGAAUUAUUUGGAUAAUGAAAAGCCCAGGAAAGCCAGUGUUCUACUUUGUAGAAGCAGCAAAACAAAAUUUCCAACUGUGAGGCUUGGACUGAAGCAUUUGAUGAGGGGAAAAGUCCGGCUGGACCAGAAAGCGAAGGAAAACACAGUGAUGCCAGUGGAACUGGCUGUGCCACCGUCUGGAAAUCCUGGAUACACCUGUAAAGGUCCAGAAAAUCACUAAGACAAAAGGAAGAAUCCUUACAUGCUGUUUUCACCGGGAAAAAGGGAACUCAAGAUGGAAGAGCCUUCAUAUACAGAAACCUUCCCCUUGGCAGCCUCCCCUCAGCCCGUCCUUGUGCUGGUGAAAGAGCCGGAUCAUCUUUAGUUCCACUCCAUGGGCAGGUUCUCCAGACCCCGAAUCCUUUCCAAAUUUCUAAAGAGGCAUUUUUCAAAGUCUGGGUAAGAAGCUGUGGGAAUCAAAAGAUCUGAGUUGUGUUCCCACUGGGCAAUGUUUUUCCUUUUAUUUCUCUUGGUUUCUUUGAUUUAUGUCCUGGGAGCUCUGUGGGACAGGGCUCUUUCCCAGAGGAAGGACCAUACAGGGCCUCACAUUUUGGAGCUCAUGUUCAAUAACAAGGUUAUUGAUAUUAAUUCAGAAAUACUUCAAAAGAGGAAUAAAUUACAACAAAAUGCAGAGCUGCUGCUUUUGCCCUUUACCCAAGUGCAAGCCAUGACUAUUACCAUAAAGAUCAAUGAAACUGGGUGGGUAUAAAACCAAAGGAGAGGGAGCAAAGAGAUUUCCCUUGGGAACAUGCUGUUGGUGUCUUGGAAAAAAUCCAUUUCAGAGCCUUAUCUGUGUAAAACAAGGGGGGAGUUCUUUUCUUCUGAGGUCUAAAACACCCAAACCAAGUCACCCUCCAUGAUUGCAGCAACCUAAGGUGAAGCUGAUCUCGUUGAAAAUUUUUGUGUGAAAGAAGCUCUCACUGCUGGGCUUCUGCAUCUCUCAAGUCUAUUUUAAGCCCUGUGAGCUCCAGCUGCACCUGGGCCCUCACAUGGAGCAUCCUGAGCUGCAUCAACCACGUGCUGCCAGGGUUAAUCAGGAGCUGCUCAGGUGGUUUUUGAAGGCACUUUAAACAGUGCACCCACAGAGAGAUCCAGCCACGUGUAACUCACCAGUCCUCCUCCCUCCUUUGAAUUUUGGGAUUUUUUUUUAUCCCACUGUGAGCCCUGCUGGGGGAAGGUGAUGCCCAGGGUAAUGAAACACCUUCUGAGGUGCCAGGGGAGGAUGUGUUCAAACCCUGUCAUGCCACUGACGCUUUUGGCCUCAUUGUGCUGCUCUUGAUAAAGUCAAGAGGAGCUUUAUGCUUUUUAAAGAUCUUCAGCUUCUAUGGGCUAUAAAGCAUCGACCUUAAAGGGAGGUGCUGAGGGAAGUAUCUCCCAGAUAGAUCUCUGUGGGACAGUCAGACAUGCCAGCUUUCCCCCAGCUGCUCCCUGAGCUGCCUUUUCCUAAGCUCACUUUAAAUGAAUGUGAUGAUUUCCCUCCUAGAGAAGAGCUGCCUGAAGCUGUUAAAACAUCUUAGGGGGACUGGGACAAUCUUCCCUUGGACAUUUCCUGAUGGAAGUGCACAGAAAGCUUUUUCCAGUUUGUUCUCAGCUGUUUGUUCCCACUGAGGCUCAGUCACAGUGCUGCAAAUUUCCUGAAUUCUGUGCUCCACGAUCCCAGGACUUGGAAAGGGCCCUGCAUUAGCUCAUUCCUACAGAGAUCCCAUCUCCGGCUCCAGUAACAAGGACUCCAGGAUAAAAAAAUCCUUUUGCAAUGAGCAGCUAAAGGGGAAAAUCCUCUAGUGGGAACCUCUGCUAAUUGUGGACCUGUGGCAAGUGAUUCCUAUUAAAUUAUUCAAUAAUCCCUAAGAGAUGAUCUGACUACAUCUCUCACCUCUGGAACCUUGCUGUGUUGCUGUUCAUCUGCAUCACCAGGUACUAAAGGAAUGAAUAGUAUUUAUGAGGUCCUGGGAAAACUGGUUCAAAAAGCAUUCAGGGUGCGUGUGUGAGAGAGAAAUGAGGGGGAAACAGUCCCCACGGACCCUGGGGAGGGGAAUGUGUGAGUGGGCACUGCCUGCAGCCCCUGCUGCACCAGCAGGGCCUUUGCAGGGGGCUGGGAGGGGAUGCAGGUGAGGAUGCUCUGCAGAGCAAAAGCAGUCACGUCCUCCCACUGCCUUGACUUAAUUUAGCUCGGAGCCUGGCAGAGGAUGCAGCUCGGAGCCUUCCUGGGGGGCUCGGUCUGGGAGCCCUUUGCUCGCGGGUUGGUGCUCUGGGGGAGGGUGUGAGA